AAGAGGAGGAAUGUCAUGUCCACAGCGAAUACCUACUGCAGCAAGGCUGUAGGAGACUUUGGAGAGGAAGGACCCUGUUUCCAACAACUUGACCAUGUUUCCCAUCCAGGGACCUCUGUGCAGAGAGUGGUGGUGAGCAAGUAUUUCCAACUGGGAGCCCCCACAGAGUCAGUGGCUGGUCUGUGCACUUGUUACUGGACUCCUAGCACUGUGCUUGGCUUGUGGUGGGUACUCUACAAAUGCUGCAUGCAUAUGUGCGUGUGCCAGUGGACUCCAG
rnacentral:lncRNA from 1 species